GGAGUUUUUGAUCCCACAAAGGGUACCCUGUUAUAAUUAGAAUAGAUUCCAAAAUGUAUAAAAAUGAUUAGCACGCUCUGGUCUCUGGCAAACACUCUAAGUUCUAACACUCUAACACUUUGCCAUCUCUCCCUCCUUUCACUGACCUUCAUUAAUUCCUCAAACAUAGAGUCCUUAAGUAUACUAUACUCCAUGAUAAUACUUGGCACACUAUCCAUUUUAUUAUUAACUAGUAGAAAUUAUUUAAUAACUGGCUUCUGAUCUGGACUCUAAGCCCUGUGUUGAUAAUUCUCCUUCUAUAUUGCUUAUUUGGUCUAUUCUCAAUGCUUUGCCCAGUGUCUGGCACAUACAAGUGCUUAUUCCAUGUCUUUUAGUUCACUCCAAAUAAGAAAAUUAUCUUUCUUUGACUUUGUGGGAAAUUAUCUUGCUAUGACCUUGUUCCUAUGCUUUUUGUCUGAUAUUGGGUAGAUUAUAUCCUCCUUCUUUGCUCAGCCUGUGUAACUUUGGCCCAUUCUUACAAAUCCAAUUUAAGACUCUCUCAGACAAUUGUUUCUGCCUCUUCUGAUCUUUUCACACAUUUACUGUGAUAAUGAAGCAGUCAACAUUUGAUUACAUUCAUUCUUUCUUUUUAUAAAAC
rnacentral:lncRNA from 1 species